UUUGCAUGUAUAAUAGAGAAAACAUAGAUCCAAGGUAUUUAGGGUUGCAUGUACACUUAGGAAGUGUUAGAAUGCUCAAAACCCAACAGUGGUAUCAGAGCCACGGGUUGUUUUCUGUUAUAUUGAUGCAAAUAUUUUAUUUUCAAAGUUGAAAAAAAAAAAAAAAAAAAACAUGAAGUUCGUCAAAUUUUAAGAUAAUUACUUGUUCUUGUGAAAAACUAAUUAUUUGUAAAAUUUGAAUAAUUUGCUUUAUGAGUUGAAUUAGGUCAAAUUUAAUAAAAGAUAAAAUAAUAUGAUUAUUUUAUUAGUUUUAAAAGUUUGAUCUAAAGAGUUUUAUUUUUUGAAACCUCCAUAAGUUAUGGAUAUGAAAAGGUUUUAAAAAAAAAAUUAUUCAAAGUUUUUAUGGAGUUACAAAAUUUGGUGUUAAUGUUUUAAAGGAUUCCAUAACUUAAGAAUAAGUUAUGGAUCACCAAAAGUUUUUUGUGUUACCUUGUUUUAUGAGUGAAUUUAGAUUAAUGAAUAAAAUUAUGUGAUAGUUGGUUUUAAUCCAAAUUAAUCUAAGAAUUGAUUCUAAAAUGUGUUUUUGUAACUUGUCCUCAAGUUAUAUGAAAAGUCACAUUUAAGAAUCAUAAAACUCAUAAAAAUUGGCAAAGGUUACAAAAAUGAAGAGUCUAGUUCUAAUUAAAUGGUUUUAUGACUCCAUAACUUGUCCUCAAGUUAUGGAGGACCAAGAGUCUCUUCAUUUAAUAAAAUAAAAUAAAAUAAAAAAAAGGGUAACCUUAAUUAAUUCCAUAAGUUAUAAAAUAAAGAAAAGUUAAUUCUUUUAUUAGUUUAAAGUCUUCCAUAACUUGUCCUCAAGUUAUGGAACUUGAAGAGUUUUUGGAUUAAAACUACUUUAAACACAUAAGUUAUGGAAUUAAUUAGUUUUGAAUAGUUUCAAAACUUGCCCUCAAGUUUUGGAAUUUGUAAAGUUUUCACUUAUGAAUACUUUAAUUCCAAGUUAGCCCUUAGAAUUUUAAAAGUUAAAAUUCAACCCUUAUACUUUAUAAUAUUAUAAGUUAAUAAUAUAUAUAUGUAUAAGAGUAAAGUCAGUCUUACCGCUAGUACGCCUCAUUCACGAAGCCGGUCUAUAAGGUGGGUAUAAGGUUGUUGCCUAUAAAAUGGCAACUUAAUGGGUGUCCACUCUCACCCACCGCUUGCUUGACUGGUGGAGGGUCGUUAGCCGAACGGGUUUGACAGGACUAGAAUUCUCCCUUCAUUAAAAGUAUUAAUGAUAAUACUAAGUAACUAAACUCUUAAUAAUACCCAAUCUUAGUUACUUAGGAAAAAUGUGAAUAAGGUGCUAAUCCAUGAAAUUACACUUUACACUUUGUCUAAGUCGUUAGUGGAGCGUGUGUGGUUAACCGGCACACUAACUUGGACUUAACAAGGUAGGUAAAGGGUGACUUAAUAUUUAUCAUAGUAUCGAUGGAGCGUGUGUGGUUAACCGGCACAUCGAUUGAGGGGUAAUUUAUUAAGGGUACCAAGUGAUUUGCAUGGUUACUUCACACCUUGUUUUGUGAUCCUCGGCAUCCCAGUCACAAAACCUGAAGGGCACACUCGAGAUUGAAACAUGCCUUUGAAAAGUUCAAUGAAUCUCAAAGAUCUAGGAGUUUCAAAACCAAUUAAAACCUAAUAAUACAUUUCGUUUAUCUUGGUGGAAAUUGGUGAAUCGUCAUUCACCUACCUUCAAAUAUUUUAUAGCUUGGAUUACGGCAUACCUCUUCUAAGUUAUAAAAUAGUUUGUUGGGUCCUAGCCUUAAUAUUUCAUAUUGGGUGUCAUAUUAAGGACUUUAAAUCAACUAUCUUGAAUAUCUCCCAAAAGAUGUCUGGUUUAGACACCUAUGAUCUUCCCAAAUCUCUUGAAACAAGGUUUCCUAAUGAAGAUGAUGUCCCAUGGAUAUCAUACUUCUUCACCUCUUCAAAUUAUUCUCCCUAACCCACAAGUUCUUGAAAAGUUUAAGGUCACUCAGGCCCUAUUGGCAAGGCAAGGUCUAGGUGUGGUCACAUCUUGGAGAUGUAGUCACAUAUUGACAAGCCGGGAGAGUUGGGUGUCAAAGUCUUGAGAAAGUUGGUGGUUCAACCACUUUCUAAGUCACAUAGUGAGUUCCUUUGGGACACCUAUGAAACAGACUAUGACAAGACCCUUAAUGAUCUUAUCUAUUUGCUAAGAUCAACUUCCUAAAACUUUAUGGACAUUGACAAUGAUGACAUUGGAUAUCCAGUAAAGCAUUCUCUUCCCAAUGGAAAGGGAUCGGCUAUAGUCAACUCGGUUGACCAAAUGGUAAAGAGAAAAGCUAAGUCUGUGAUAGUCCUGUGUACCAUUAUCAAAGGGUCCAUAUGUUUGUAUUGCCAAAGAAAGGGCAUUGGUUGCGAAGCUGCCAAAUUUACCUAAGGAUGUUAAAGUCAAUAAGUUUGACUCUACUUCAGGUAAAAUCCACUAUCUAACUCUGUUAAGUUUCUAUUCUGAGAUUCUUGAUACAUGAUGUGACCGGGUCGCAUGGUGAUGGUUUAAGAAUCAAAGGAAAGUGAAGAAACUUAAAGGAAGAAUAUGCUGAAUCUGAUCGCAUAGAUGGAUUUCUAUCGCAUAGUUUGAAAAAUCGGAUUCUUGAGCUACUUCUUAGGAGUUAUGAGAUAUUGCUUAGGAAUAGAUAACAACAAGUUUUCAUAUGGAUUGUAAGGAUAGUUUUUCCGCAAAGUUUUAAAAUAAAAGGAAAUUUUUGAUUUUAUUUAUUUUAAAAUAUCCUUACAAUGGCAUCUGUGGAAAUUUUUGUUGCUUAUAAGAUUCCAUUAGUAGCAAGAGUGGAAGUAUGAAAUUGAUUCUUUCAUUUGUGGUAAUGUCUAAAUUUACCAAAUAAGGAAAGAUUCUCAUCACCCAAGUUUCAAUUGGACCGGAACUUGGAAUCAUGCAAGUUGUAUAGCAUGAUGAAUGAGAACUUUCAAGUUUUGGAAAAUUAAGACUAAUUACUUGUUCACAUGGAUGUGUGAGUCAAGUAAAGGACUUAGGGAUCGAGUACACAUUCUUGUGCACUGAUUAAGUCCACCACUAAAGAUCGAUAAGAAGAAUCAAAUAAGGCAGAAGGAUAAAAGUUUCUCAAAUCUGAAAAGAUGGGAGAGUACUUUAGUAUCAGUUUUGUGAUCAUCUUAAUGAUUAAGAAACCAUAUCAAAAUUAGUUCUCUAAGGAAAUCUUAGUGCAUUCUUAUGACUAAGAAGAGGAACUUGAAUUGUUGAAAUGGUUAAAUCAAGAAGAUGAGUCAUACUUCGUUCCAAUACAAGUCUUAGAGUCAUACUCCAAGAUUGUCAUUUGAGUGACAUGUCUUAAAGAAGGUUUAAAACACUUGUCAAAUGUAAGAGUAAAAGUUUUCUACUCUUGUACAUUUGAAAUUGGUAAGUUGUGAUGUUUUGGAUAAAACAAAGACCAACUUAGGCCAAUUGGGUAAAGUGUUUUUCUUGAUUAGAAUCCGCACUAUCUCUUGGAUGUUUGACAAGGGAGUCUUAUAUGUCAAGAGGACAGUGGGAGUCUUAAAGGUCUUGAAAGUCUCAAGAAAUAAUCAAGAAUAAAACCUAAAGUUCUUCACUAGCACACGACUUGAGGUUCAUAACCUAUCGUGUUGACAUAUUCUGUGCCCAUUCCAGUUAAAGUUGGUUUUGCAUAUGAGUUCUUAGAGUUCUCAAUUUGUUGCACAACAACUUGGAAGCAAUGGCAGGCCCUUGAGCUGCCAGGUGGCAAGAAGUUAAGAUUGAGUUCAAUCCAUAUGGUUUUGGAUUUGUCAUUAUCUUUGUCUUGUGAUUAUGGUUUGACAAAUUCAUAUGGGUAGGAACUCAUACACCAUAUAAAUCUAAGUGUCAUAAGGUUUCUCUCCGAUUCAUGAAAAUGAUGGUGAGGAAACGCUUUCACUAAGUAGAUUUUACGAAGAUAUCAAUUGUGUUAUUUGCAUUUUCAAAAGUCGUUAGUGGAGCGCGUGUGGUUAACCGGCACACUAACAUGGACUUGUGAGAAAUGGCAAAUGCCUAAGCAAUUGAGACCAUGAUUACGGUAUCCCUUUUCAUGGUUCUUGAAAUUGCUUAGACACACAGGUGAGCUAUCUACGGAAAGGGUGUAUGAAUCUAAAUUUCAGACUGUCCAGCUGAUUUCUGAGUACAUGUCAAAGCUAGUGGGAGCAUAAGUGUUAUGCUAAUAAUCAUCAUGUUAGUGGGAGCAUGAUAAUUAUGAUAAGUAUUGCAAGUUAGCAAUGUUAAUUAUAGAAAACAAAAGUUUCAAUUGGGAAAAAGUUGUUUUGCUAUAAUUAAGGGAGAGGAAAUUAUGCUUCAUCUCAAAUCUAUAAGCUUAGAUCGUGAGGUUUUAAUCAUUUAGUCAAGGAUAUAUAUGAAUUUCAUGUUGGAAUGGCUCAACAUAAGGAAAUUCUGUAUAUGGGUCCAUUAUUUGCGUUCUAAAAUUCGAUUAUGAUUACGGCAUCCCUUUUCAUAAUCUGAAUUAUGAGAACUUGGCAAAUUGAAAUGGAAAUAUUAUAGCAAAAGACUGGUUUAGUCUUUAUGUAAGACAUCAUGAAUCGUGUCCCAUAUGCUUCGGAUAUAGGAUCGAUUACAUGUGCUAUAUUCAUCCGUUCUAAAAUUUUCCAAAUGCCUGGGGCAUUAAGAAGGGAAAAGGUUUAGAACUGGAUAUGACUAAAAGGAUUAAACAAUUGUCGAGGACAAUCUAAGGUUUACCAAAGAUUGGUUACUCAAGGACAAUUGGAAGUAUAGUGAUAAUUCUGGAAGGACCAUAUUGACAUAAUCUGUAAGGAGGCAACUCUUGUUCAGAAGUGAUAGUCAAAAUGGAAUCUGGAAAUGUUUCAAAGUUAGAAUUUUCAAUCUGUGUAAGAUUAAGGAAACUUAAUGCAAGAAGGAUAUUUCCAAGGAGUUGAUCUCCUUUGGAAUACUCUGUAAUGAUUGUUGCCAAGUCUUUGUGACUUUGUGCAUAAUCAUUACAAGAGGAUCAAUGCAUAUAAGUUUAGAAUCUAACAGAUUUCAGUAAAUGGCAUGAAUUUGGAAUUCUUGCAUUUGCAGUAAGGAUUUGGGAGUGUGAAAAGAGAAUCAUUGAAGUUAUGUUCAAUUGAUCUAGUUCACAAAGUAAAGAUCAUAGACAAACAUAGUAUGCAUACUUGGUGUGUGGCAUGACUAGUGUUUAAGAAAACAUAGUGUACAUGCUUGGAGCAUGGGACAACUAUUGUUUUAAAUUCAAGAAUAAAGUUGAUAGCUGAAACAGUAUACAAUGAAUAAUGUGUAAUCAUAUGGUGAUAAAUAAAAGGUGUUUUAUUUAUGUUCAAAGGGUUGAUACCAUAUUGGAUUCAAUUAUUAUUGUGUUUCAUUUUGCAUGUUUUGACUUCCCGAAUAAACUGGGUUAUUCUUCCGGAAUGACUAAGUUAUUCAAACCAUCCACAGUCGGUCAUAUGUUGGAAGUAGAUAUGAAUUAAGACUGUCAUGGGUUGGCUUGUAGAGGUCUAAGGUGUUGGACAAAGGGCUACAACACUCAUGAGUGCUCAUAAGUUCUGAGUAUUGGAUUCAACCCGCGCUCAUUGGAAUCACUUCAUGGAUUUUAUCACGAGUGAUCAUGAGACGAUAAUAUCUUAUAUUCUUCAAACCUAGAGAUAUGAGUUGUUACUAUGAGUUGAUAGUACAUUGAUUGCACGAAAACGCAUUUGGUAACUCGGUGCUAUAAAACGUGCCUUUGUGUAUGAUUCAACAAGUAGUAGAACAAGCCAUAUGAGUCGAAGUUUAUCCAUUCCUUUUACCUUCGGGAUAAAAGCGAUAUCUGUGGGCCCCUCGAUGAUUUGAUGAUGACAAAUGGAAGUGCUCGGCCGGGCCAGGACUGAUUUGAUUUGUUCAAUUAGUCAGUCGUCAUAAAUCGGAAAUCGGGAAACAACAAAUGGACAGAGAGAAUGAUUAUAAUCCAUGUCUCAGUCCAUAUGAUAUCUAGAAUGGAGGAAUAUAUGAUCCCUUAUCUAAUGGACAAGUCAUUGACAAAGGUCAGAGUUCAUCUACAAGGUCAGAGUUCGACAGAAGCUUUUGAGAGCUACGAUUGCCGGUUGGUUCCUGAAGUCAUACGCAAUAAUAGUUUUAGACUUAUCCAAGUGGGAGACUGUUGGAUUAAUGUCUAAGUCCAUAACUAUAUUUGGUAAGACUUGACCCGACCCGGCAUGGUCCAUUUGGGUUGCAUACCAUCAUGCACUUGAAUGAGAGAAAUAAGACACUUAUGGUUAUUAAUAUAUUAUAAGUUCUAGUAUAUUAAUAAUAAGAAUAAUAAGAUUAUUUAAUUAGUAUUGAUCAAGAAUUAAUCUAGGAUUAAUUAAGUGAUCAAAAGAAGACUAAUUAAAUAUAUGGGUUGAUUGUGUAAAUCAUCCAUACUUGUAUAGUGGGCUAAUGCUCCAUGGAUAAUCAAGUUGGGCUAAAACCCAUAGGAUGGUCCAUGGAUGCUCCAUGGUGUAUUUGUACCCAUGGAUCCAAGGAAAUGGAAAGCCAUGACAAUUAAGAGUUUACCCUAAUUGUGUAACUAUAUAAGCAUCUUAUUAUUGAGGAAAAAUCGGCCACUAGUAGUAUUCAAGAAAGGGCUAGCCGAUUUUGGUGAGUGUAGAAUUCUCUCAAGUCAUUCUAAGUGUUUUGAUGAUUGUGAUUCCAUUUGAGGUGUCACACUUGGGGCACUAAGCACUCAAGCUUCAUGAAGACUUUCUACAUCAAGAGGUAUGUAUUCUAUCUUGUUACAUUAUUGUUUUGUAUGCUAGAUUAGGAUAAUACCUUGGAAGUUCUUAUUUGCAUGUAUAAUAGAGAAAACAUAGAUCCAAGGUAUUUAGGGUUGCAUGUACACUUAGGAAGUGUUAGAAUGCUCAAAACCCAACAUCAUUUUGAUUUAUGCUUUAGAGUUUAUCAAAAUUUGACAGAACAUAUUUGUAUAAUAAUUAUAUUAUUAAUGCAAUGGAUGAUGUUGUUUCUUGUUUACUACUUUACAUUGUUUUGAUACUGUACAUGACGUCCUCCGCCCCAGAAUGUUUCCGCCGUUCUUGGUUUUGGGGUGUGACAGAUUGGUAUCAGAGCAUUGUUUAUAGUGAAUUAAGUAUAUCAACCCAUAAAAGAUAUACUAACUAUAAAUAAAUAAGGGAUUAAAAAUACUCUGACCAAGAGUUUAUACUUUAAAUAUUAAAAUAUUUAAGUAAGUAUACGUGCUGCAUUCAUACUAAAAUCAGUGUCACUAACACAG
rnacentral:lncRNA from 1 species